GUAGUUAUGCAUCUCCCUAAAGAAGCUAUACUAGGUGGACCAGUGCAGUACAGGUGGAUGUAUCCCAUUGAGCGCUCAAUGUCUGUGUACAAGCAAUAUGUCAGGAAUCGUGCCCGUCCGGAAGGCUCUAUUGCUGAAUCUUUUGUGGUUAAUGAGGCAUUAACCUUUUGCUCAAUGUACUUUCGGGAAGUGGAAACUCGAUUCAACCGUCCUGACCGGAACAAUGACAUUGUCCAAAACAUGCCAACUCGACAAUUUUCUGUAUUCAAGCAUGUUGGCCGACCCCUCGGUAUGAGGACAGUCGACACCUUACCCAUGCAAAGCAAGCGUAAGGCGGAGUGGUACAUUUUGAACAAUUGCACAGAGGUUGAACCGUAUAUCAAGUAAGUAUAAAUUCCAUAAACACAAACACACAAUAGUCGACUUCAUCUAAAAAAUUCUUAACUUACUAAUAAGUGGAUUACAUUAUAUAGUGAGCACAAGGAGUUGCUUCAAGCAAGGGGUGUAGGCAAUAUUGAGACAGUGCAAGAGACUGAGUUCCCUGAAUGGUUCAAAACUCAAGUAAGCCUUGUUGCCUCUCAAUACUGUUAAUCUUGUUCUCAAUAACUGUUCAACUUUUCUUAAUUUAAUAUUUUCCCUGAUAUGUAGAUUAAUGAACUACGGUUGAGCAACCAGGGUGCAGUGUCAGAUGAGUUGUAUGCUAUCGCUAACCCAGCGAAUACAGCAAUUUAUUUUUAUCCAGGGUGCAUAGUGAACGGUAUUAAAUUUUUGGUCAAGGAGAGGGAUGAUAACCGCAAAACACAGAAUAGCGGUGUCAUGGUCCCCGGUGAAGAUGGCCAAAAUUUUUACGGCACACUUGAAAAAAUUAUGGAGUUCACUUAUUUGAAAGAUUGCAGUGUUCUCUUAUUUUUUUGUAAGUGGUUUGACACUAAUGGGAGUAGAAUGGAUAGUGACGGUGUUAUUACUAGCAUCUGCGUCAACCGACAGUGGUACCAAAAUGAACCGUUCAUACUUGCAUCUCAAGCAAAAUUGAUCUACUACAUUCCUGAUUUAAAGAACGGUAAAGACUGGCUGAUUGUAAAUGAGUACAUACCGCGCAAUGUUUGGGACUUCCCGGACACGGAUGGGGAGACACCCUUUGUACAGGAAAACAAUUCAGCUGAAACCAAGUUCGUUGUUCAACUUCCACAGUUGGAUGAUGUUGACUAUGUUCGCCAUGAUGUCGACCCAACUGAAGUUGCAAACAUCCAUCGUGUGAAUUCACAGCCUCAACAAUUAGAUGAUUUCAUUGUCGAUGAUGACAACGAGGGUCUAAAUACCGAAGAAGACAACUCCUUAGAAUUAGAGAGUGACAGUGAUGAUAAUGCUGUAUAUGUAACUGAUGAUGAGGAUGAUGAAUUGUAAUUGACAUAGUGUUUUAAAUAAAAUAAAAAUUACAACCCUUCUUCUUUAAUAUGUUUGCAAUAUGUUAGUUUAUUUUAAAUAAACAAUAUGUGUUGUAUAUGUAGUAUGUCUACACCAGGUGGCAGCAGUUCGAAAAAGAAAGGCGUCAGAGGUAAAUACAAGGGCAAGAAUGUUGAGGAGGAGCUCUCCAAAACACAAUCUGCCAAGUUACCGAUUGAGGUGCACGCAGAGACUGGCACCCCCGUAGGCAAGAACGGAAAAAAAUUCAACAAUAUUGCCAAAUGGAUGACUCGGAUGUCUAUCCCCAUUAAUAAAUUCAAAUGGGAAGAUGUCAGUAGAGCUGACAUCAACGCACUGUGGGAUAGACUUGAGACCAAGUUUAUCCUCCCACGAGAUAACCCUACAUUCGUAGACUACGGUGAGUACGAGAUGUCAAAGGGUUUACGUGACUGGAGGGCAGACUGCAAGAAGAAGUGGAUACAAAACAUUGAGGAGCUUGGACAGGAGAGGGCCGACAUGUCACCUCCUGAGGGAGUAACUCAAGAGGUGUGGAGUGACUGCAUCGCUUAUUGGAGCACAGACAAACAAAAGGUACAUUUUUUAAAAUUUUAAAUUUUGGUAAUGUUUAAUUUAUAUAGUCAAUAAUAAAUAAUUAAUUGUUAGAAAAAUUAUUAAUUUCAGGCGAGAGCAGCGAAAAAUAAAGAAAGUCGGG